ACAGACAACGCACGUGCGCAUGGAAAAUAAUGUUAAAAAUAAUCACGAUAAGUUUGUACGCGUACGAAAUUGUAAACCAAAUGUGUAGUUAACCGUUGUAAGAUUCACGUAAAUGGGAUUGCGGGGACAUAGCGCCCGCGGGUCUUCGACGUGUCAAUAAUUUCAGCACCCCCCACCCUCAGGAUUGGCGGUCCGAUUGCGCCUGUUACGCCCAUAGGUGUAUUUUUUUUUU